CCAAGACCACACGAGGAGAUCAGCUCUACGACUACAUGGUUCUGGCUACGCUCAUAGGAGCUCUGCUUUUAAUGGUUGUGGCAGCUGUUGGGAAGUUGCUCCGUGACAAUCCUCCACACAAAGGUCCAGAUUGAGCUGAAGCAGCACCAGCGUGAGCAAACUGGAAGCAAACGCUGACAUUGUGGCUGCAGAAGCUAAGAGGAGGCAGUGCAGUGUGUUUAUGCUGGUGACGCAUCAUCUGUCAUCCUGCUCCCUGUGUGGGUAUGAUGGGAUCUAAGCAUUGUGGCCUGAGGAGGCAUCAGAUGAGUUCAGAGCUAAACUCACUCCUUCUCCACCUGUUUCUACCUCUUAUUUACAUUAAGCUGGGCCACCUUCAAUACAAAGUGCCUUAGAUCUGCUCUCAGAUCAGUGAGUAGCAGCUCAGUGUCCAUUAGUUUCAAUGAAUACUCCAGAAAAGCUGUGUUAAUGUGUCUUCACAAACCUUUCAACUCUGUUUUGUAAUAAAUAGCAUUAACGUUAGGAGCCGUAGAUCAAAUCUGCUUCAAGGCAGCAACAGCAAAACAAAAGGCUUCAGUUCUACACGUGUGAGCGAGUUCAAGUUAUUUCAGACAUUAUAUUUAUCUGUGCACUUUAACUGUUCUCUCUAUGAGGAACGUCUAUUUUUCUCAAGGAUGUUAAAAGUGAUUUUACUUGUUGAUUUCAUCAUAUCGUGAAAUCAAAGCAAACCAGCAGGAAUAAGAAACAACCAUUCACACACUCAUACAGAAUGUUUAAGAUAAGCUCAGUCCCAAUGAUGGGACUUCUGUUAGUGUUAGUAGUGAGGCCACUACACAAAAAGAAACAUUACGUUAUGGACACAUAGACAAUGGGAAUCCAUCUAUUUUCAUCCAUAUAUUGUAUUACUAUUUUAUUACUAUUUAUCUAUGUUUAUCCUGCCCUCGACCCAAACAAUGUUAAGUUUACUGCCUUAGAGACUAUUGUUUUUAAGUUGCUUUCUUUUGAAUAGACAUCGUCUUUCAUUCUGUGUCUCUGUUCUGGUGAAAUCAAAUCUAUAGGCCCCACUCACUUUUUACUGCACGUGUCUAAAACUAGGUUACGUUAAAAGAGUCUUACCUGUAGCUGAUAUCUACUGAAUCUCUGCCCGUCACAUGUGAAAUCCUUCACUUCAACAUGUACAAUGUUUUUUAAACUCUCAGCGUCAGCUCACUCAGCCUGAGAGUGACGCUUAUGUACUGUAAAUCUGACUGGGAGGGCGGAGGAGGAGGAGGAGGAGGAGGAGGAGGGAGGAACCAACGUGAACGGAGGUGAAAAACAAUGCAGUAAACAGCUUUUUUAGAGCCAACAUUGAAUAAAAUCUGUAAAAGUAUUUGUUUAAAUAAAUAA
rnacentral:lncRNA from 1 species